CUUUGGCCUGGUGUCAUUUCCUUGUAAAGUUCCCUUGUCUUCAUGGAAUGAUUAUAUUUUCCUUCUGUAACUCUUUUAUACAUUGCUGUUAACUCGGUUGUAUCUGUUUUCAAAACAUCAUUAUUAUAAUAUAAUGUUAGUAUUUCUUCAACAUCUCCUCCCAUCCUGGUACCCAAUACACAUGCCUUCCUCCCUCUAAUAAAAUCUUCCAGUUUGGACUUUAGAACUGCUAUUCCGAUUGCUCUUUUGUUACAUAUCCAAUCUUCAAAUUCUUCUAGAGUACAUGGCAUGGGGGCUUUUAAACUAGUAUUAUCACCUUCUAUUGCUGUGUUUCUGCCAUAUUUGAAUAUUUGACAUAUUAGUAUUGGCUUCCCUGUCAAAUCGGUACAGGCAUCGAAUAC
rnacentral:lncRNA from 1 species